CUACUGCCGGCGACCGGCGCACGGGUGAGUAACACGUAUGGAACCUGCCCGCAGCAGGGGGAUAAGCGGAAGAAAUUCCGUCUAAUACCGCGUAACAACGUUGGGAGGCAUCUCCCGAUGUUUAAAGAUUUAUCGGCUGCGGAUGGCCGUGCGGCGCAUUAGCUAGUCGGCGGGGUAACGGCCCACCGGGGCGACGAUGCGUAGGGGUUCUGAGAGGAAGGUCCCCCACACUGGUACUGAGACACGGACCAGACUCCUACGGAAGGCAGCAG
rnacentral:rRNA from 1 species